rfam:Oryza sativa (indica cultivar-group) chromosome 3, whole genome shotgun sequence.
AAUAAGUACAGUUUUAUAUUAUUUACGUUAAAUGUUUGAUCGUUCGUCUUAUUUUAAAUUAUUUUAUGAUUAUUACUUUUAUUGUUACUAGAUGAUAAAACAUGAAUAAUACUUUAUGUGUGAUUUUUUAAAUUUUUUUAAAUAAGACGGAUGAAUAAAUGUUAGACAUAUAGUAGUUCGUACUCAUA